rnacentral:rRNA from 1 species
AGUGAACGCUGGCGGUAGGCCUAACACAUGCAAGUCGAACGGCAGCACAGUUAGCGCUUGCUCUUAUGUGUGGCGAGUGGCGGACGGGUGAGGAAUACAUCGGAAUCUACUUUUUCGUGGGGGAUAACGUCGGGAAACUUACGCUAAUACCGCAUACGACCUACGUGUGACAGCAUGGGAUCUUGGGACCUUGUGCGACUGAAUGAGACGAUGUCGGAUUAGCUAGUUGGCGGGGUAAAGGCCUACCAAGGCGACGAUGCGUAGCUGGUCUGAGGGGAUGAUCAGCCACACUGGAACUGAGACACGGUCCAGACGCCUACGGGAGGCAGCAGUGGGGUAUAUUGGACAAAGGGGGGAGGCCUGAUCCAGCCGUACCGCGGGGGGGGAGAAGGCGGUCGGGUUGUAGAGCCCUUUUGUUGGGAGAGAAGAACAGCAGGUUAAUACCCCGCUGUUCUGACGGUACCCAAAGAAUAAGCACCGGCUAACUUCGUG